ACCUAUAUUCGUUUUAAGCGAUGGGGGGACGCAUUUGAAUAGGUGAAGCGAGCGAUUGGAUAGCACGUCUAUGCAGUUAGACGGAGGAUUAGGCAAAUCCGGUCCUCGUUAAAGCAGAGAUGUGAUGGGGAGAAGACAUAGAGACUUCGAUUCGUUCAUUUCACUAUUUGGAGAAAAGCAGCGAGCUAGAAAUUAGCUAUACGCAUAGCAAAUCGACA
rnacentral:rRNA from 1 species